AGUGAACGCUGGCGGUAGGCCUAACACAUGCAAGUCGAACGGCAGCACAGUAAGAGCUUGCUCUUACGGGUGGCGAGUGGCGGACGGGUGAGGAAUACAUCGGAAUCUACUUUUUCGUGGGGGAUAACGUAGGGAAACUUACGCUAAUACCGCAUACGACCUACGGGUGAAAGCAGGGGAUCUUCGGACCUUGCGCGAUUGAAUGAGCCGAUGUCGGAUUAGCUAGUUGGCGGGGGAAAGGCCCACCAAGGCGACGAUCCGUAGCUGGUCUGAGAGGAUGAUCAGGCACACUGGAACUGAGACACGGUCCAGACUCCUGCGGUAGGCAGCAGUGGGGAAUAUUGGACGAUGGGGGCAAGCCUGAUACAGCCAUACCGCGUGGGUGAAGAAGCACUUCUGGUUGUAAAGCCCUUUUGUUGGGAAAGAAAAGCAGCAGGUUAAUACCCCGCUGUUCUGACGGUACCCAAAGAAUAAGCACCGGCUAACUUCGUG
rnacentral:rRNA from 1 species